UUUCACUUCAUUACGGCAUUCCCAAAGGUAACACAAAUUUCAUUGCGACACUUAACUUCACGACACCAAUGUUCAUAAUGGUGCUAUAAAUUACAACAGAAUCUGCAACAAUUGCUACUUUAUAUUAUUUGCACACGCAUUCCAUAUUUUUUAUCGCACUUCCAAUUGCAUUUUUGCAAUUCGUUUACAUCUAAGUAAAGGAAUAUUUUCAAUAGAAUGAACUUGAAUAGCAUCUGGUGUAAUUGCACUCAUAGUUGGGUCAUAAAUUUGAAAUCAUUCAUUGAUUAAUCAUUUUGAAGUUAAUUAUGAAUUUAGAGCAACCGUUGUUGGCAAAAUAGUUGUUAAAGCACUUUGCUAAUAUAGUUGGUAAAUAUCUAAUAUAAUGUCUAUACGACAGAAGUUUAAAUUACAGAACAGAUGAAUUUUACUAGCGUACCAAGCAGAGUAGUUCAAAACAGCACUAAUAUACGCCUGGCUAACGGUGCCUAGCUUCUCUAAAGCUUCUCACCGUAAAGCUGACUACUCUCAUCAAAGUUAACGGUAAAAGCGGUUACUGAAUCGUGUAGAAACCAGUUGGGAAUAUACAUUAUAAAACUUUAAUAAUUUCUGGCAUAUAAUGUUAUUGAACUUCUUUACAUAAUC